UUCAGUGUCUAAAACCCAGAGAUCAUGACUUCCUAACUGACUUGGUAUGACUAGCAAGCAGGUCACAAGGGGUUAAUCACUGGGUCAUACCCUGAUGGAAUAAAAAGCAGCAAAAUCCCAUGGUCACUAGAAGUCAGCCUCCCACCCAAUCCAGAGAAAGCUUCUCAACACUCCCUGCUCAGCUUUCCACUCAGUGAGUUGGGAGGCUCCUUCACCCAGCAAGUAUGCUAGCCCCACAACCAGCACCUAGCAUCUCCAAAAGCUACACAAAGAAGCCAUGCACUCCAGGAAAAAUCCCACCUGCAUUCACAAGCCCAAACACACAAAAUCAGACAAUAGUUUGUUUGUUUUUUUUGCUGUAGUUCACUAAGCUUACAACCCUUUGGUUUCUUCCUGCAUCUCACCCAGUCCAAGAGGAGAGGAUUGUAAGAUGGUUCCAGGUGGUGUCACUUACAAAGGUUCUGGCUGUUUUAGAAGAAAAACCUCUUGUCACAAUCUGUGCAUUGGAUCCUUGUCAUUCCCACUGGAUGAAGGCUAGAAAGAAAAAAUCAUCAAAUUAUUUCAAAUGGAAAUGUUUUCAAAUAUAGUAAAAAAGCAGAAACCUACAACUACCCAUUCUUGUCUUCAUUUCUUAUUUUCUGAAGUUCUUCCAUGAAAAAGUGCUGUGGUCAGAAAGUAAUAAAAAUGGCUG